rnacentral:rRNA from 1 species
UGUACCUACGGGAGGCAGCAGUGAGGAAUAUUGGUCAAUGGCCGGAAGGCUGAACCAGCCAAGCCGCGUGAAGGACGAAGGUGCCAAGCAUUGUAAACUUCUUUUGUCAAGGGACAAAAUCAGGCUCGAGAGCCUGACCGAGGGUACUUGAAGAAAAAGCAUCGGCUAACUCCGUGCCAGCAGCCGCGGUAAUACGGAGGAUGCGAGCGUUAUCCGGAUUCAUUGGGUUUAAAGGGUGCGCAGGCGGGCCUUUAAGCCGGCGGUGAAA